GAUGCUCGUGAGCAGAUUUUUCACAGGGUUUCUGCAAGAAAAAAGAAAGAAAGAGAGAGAUGGGUUUUCAAGCUCGGCUGUUCUUCUUCUUCUUCUUCCUCACCUUUGCCAUAAUGUGCUUUGCUCGCGAAACCCCUUUAGAGAGUGAAAAGAAUUUGAAGAAUUUGAUCUCCGAAGACUACGAGGGACCACGGGCUAAUCCUAAGCAUACUCCACCCCAUCCUCCUCCGAAGAGACUCACCCAGAAAGAGUCAGCAAUUCCGUGAUGCUUUUCGUCAAUUAGAGUGAACGUAUGCAUAAAUAAUAACAAAGUUUGUGUUGUAAUCGUAUGAUAUCAGCAAAAAAUUAUUACGUUCACUGAGGCUCUCUCUCUUAAAAUUAUAUUAAAUAAAUAAAAGUUUCAAAUGAUUUGCAUUAUCACUCACUA